rnacentral:lncRNA from 1 species
CCCAAUCUUGUGUUUGUUGGAUCUGCCAUGUUAAUUAAUGAAGUCAGAUCCAACGCUUCAUGUUUUUUCUAAUUUUUAUUUUCUUUUUCUUUUUUAUUUUAAAUUGUAUUUUCUUUUAAAAUUCAUAAAAAAAUCAUUUUACAUCUAAAAAAUACCAAAAUAAUUUCUAAAAUUCUAUAUUAUUUUUCUUCAUAUGAGUUUUAUUUUUCAACAUUAAUUUUCUUGACUUUCUAUUUUUCUUGAAUUUUCUCUUUUCUCCUUCAUUUUAAUUAGUUUAAAAAUAUUUUUAUGCAUUUUAAAA